UGUGUGUGUGUGUGUGUGUGUGUGUGUGUGUGUGUGUGUGUGUGUGUGUGUGUGUGUAAUGUAAUGUUAAGUAAGUGAUAACAUAAGUAACGUGUGCAAGUUAUAUUAUAAGCAACAUGACAUAAAGUAAAUUAUAACAUCAGCAACAUGUGCGGGGUUGCCACAACAGGUGUCCACGACCACUUCCAUCCCUCAUAAGUAACAUAAAGUAAGUAAUAACAUAAGUAACACGUGCGAGGUGUCACAAGAGGUGCUUACGACCCCUUCCAUCCCUCAUAAGUAACGUAAAGUAAGUAAUAACAUAAGUAACAUGUGCGAGGUGCUACAACAGGUGCUCACGACCAAUUCCAUCCCUCAUAAGUAACGUAAAGUAAGUAAUAACAUAAGCAACACGUGCGAGGUGUCACAACAGGUGCUCACGACCACUUCCAUCGCUCAUAAGUAACGUAAAGUAAGUAAUAACAUAAGUAACAUGUGCGAGGUGCUACAACAGGUGCUCACGACCAAUUCCAUCCCUCAUAAGUAACGUAAAGUAAGUAAUAACAUAAGUAACAUGUGCGAGGUGCUACAACAGGUGCUCACGACCAAAUCCAUCCCUCAUAAGUAACGUAAAGUAAGUAAUAACAUAAGUAACAUGUGCGAGGUGCUACAACAGGUGCUUACGACCAAAUCCAUCCCUCAUAAGUAACGUAAAGUAAGUAAUAACAUAAGUAACAUGUGCGAGGUGCCACAACAGGUGCUCACGACCAAAUCCAUCCCUCAUAAGUAACGUAAAAUAAGUAAUAACAUAAGAACAUCAGCGGGGAGUCACAACAGGUGCUCACGAACGCAAACCCCGGACCACUGCCAGGCAACCGGCGAUUCCCACGUUCAAUUCGACUUUCUCACGGAC